UUCCUGGUGGUCCAGUGGUUAAGACUCUGCACUUCCACUGCAGGGGAGUGCAGGCUCAAUCCCUGGUCAGGGAA
rnacentral:tRNA from 1 species